rnacentral:lncRNA from 1 species
GCCCCCCAAAAAUUAGUGUGUGAAAUAAGCCCUCAAGAAAAUAUAAAGCAGUUUUAUGUGGGGAUAAGUUUGACAAGUGCGUGUAUUAGGAGUUCCCCGCUAGGUUUAGAGUAUAUCAUGUAUAUUCAGCGUUAUUAUGAAGUGAUGUGAUUCGUAAAACUACGGGUAUUGAAAACAACCGUGUAUGCAUGAAUGAUUUUACACCUAACUAAUUUAAUAAAAAAAUAAUUAAAUUGUUAUUUAGGGGUCAUCCAUAAUUGUCAACCAUUUUCCAAAGUGUACAAAACGUACACUUUUUCAGACCCCCACCCUCCCUCAAAAAGUGUACAUCAACCAUUUUCAGAUUUCAAGAGAGGAAUCAAUCAUUCUUAAUAAAAAGAAGAUCCUGUUUAUUAUAUUUUAGUUUAAUAUAGAAAUUUGCAUUGAAAAUAAACUAAAACAUAUCUGACUGUUUUAUUUGAUGACAUCUAUCUGUGAUGCUUGUGUUUUGUUAGAAUAAAGAGUUCAAAGAUUAGUGUUUCCCCUAUCACACAGUGGGAACUCCAAUGAAAAAGGGCACCUAGAGCAUGCAAAAGAUUAACAAAAGGGCACAUAAACUAUGCUAAGAAUCAAAGAAAGGGAAAUGCA